rnacentral:rRNA from 1 species
CGACUUGGAGGUUGUGCCCUUGAGGCGUGGCUUCCGGAGCUAACGCGUUAAGUCGACCGCCUGGGGAGUACGGCCGCAAGGUUAAAACUCAAAUGAAUUGACGGGGGCCCGCACAAGCGGUGGAGCAUGUGGUUUAAUUCGAUGCAACGCGAAGAACCUCACCUACUCUUGACAUCCACGGAAUUCGGCAGAGAUGCCUUAGUGCCUUCGGGAACCGUGAGACAGGUGCUGCAUGGCUGUCGUCAGCUCGUGUUGUGAAAUGUUGGGUUAAGUCCCGCAACGAGCGCAACCCUUAUCCUUUGUUGCCAGCGAUACGGUCGGGAACUCAAAGGAGACUGCCGGUGAUAAACCGGAGGAAGGUGGGGAUGACGUCAAGUCAUCAUGGCCCUUACGAGUAGGGCUACACACGUGCUACAAUGGCGCAUACAAAGAGAAGCGACCUCGCGAGAGCAAGCGGACCUCACAAAGUGCGUCGUAGUCCGGAUCGGAGUCUGCAACUCGACUCCGCGAAGUCGGAAUCGCUAGUAAUCGUGGAUCAGAAUGCCACGGUGAAUACGUUCCCGGGCCUUGUACACACCGCCCGUCACACCAUGGGAGUGGGUUGCAAAAGAAGUAGGUAGCUUAACCUUCGGGAGGGCGCUUACCACUUUGUGAUUCAUGACUGGGGUGAAGUCGUAACAAGGUAAC